rnacentral:rRNA from 1 species
ACUUAUAUUCUGUAGCAAGGUUAACCGAAUAGGGGAGCCGCAGGGAAACCGAGUCUUAAUUGGGCGUUAAGUUGCAGGGUAUAGACCCGAAACCCGGUGAUCUAGCCAUGGGCAGGUUGAAGGUUGGGUAACACUAACUGGAGGACCGAACCGACUAAUGUUGAAAAAUUAGCGGAUGACCUGUGGCUGGGGGUGAAAGGCCAAUCAAACCGGGAGAUAGCUGGUUCUCCCCGAAAGCUAUUUAGGUAGCGCCUCGUGAAUUCAUCUCCGGGGGUAGAGCACUGUUUCGGCUAGGGGGCCAUCCCGGCUUACCAACCCGAUGCAAACUGCGAAUACCGGAGAAUGUUAUCACGGGAGACACACGGCGGGUGCUAACGUCCGUCGUGAAGAGGGAAACAACCCAGACCGCCAGCUAAGGUCCCAAAGUCAUGGUUAAGUGGGAAACGAUGUGGGAAGGCCCAGACAGCCAGGAUGUUGGCUUAGAAGCAGCCAUCAUUUAAAGAAAGCGUAAUAGCUCACUGGUCGAGUCGGCCUGCGCGGAAGAUGUAACGGGGCUAAACCAUG